UAACUCCGUGCCAGCAGCCGCGGUAAUACGGAGGGUGCGAGCGUUAAUCGGAAUUACUGGGCGUAAAGGGUGCGUAGGUGGUUUAAUAAGUUAUCUGUGAAAUCCCUGGGCUCAACCUGGGAAGGUCAGAUAAGACUGUUUGACUCGAGUAUGGGAGAGGGUAGUGGAAUUUCCGGUGUAGCGGUGAAAUGCGUAGAGAUCGGAAGGAACACCAGUGGCGAAGGCGGCUACCUGGCCUAAUACUGACACUGAAGCACGAAAGCGUGGGGAGCAAACAGGAUUAGAUACCCUGGUAGUCCACGCCGUAAACGAUGUCAACUAGCUGUUGGAA
rnacentral:rRNA from 1 species